rnacentral:rRNA from 1 species
GACAGAGGUGCCGAGCGUUAGGCGGAAUCACUGGGCUUAAAGCGUGUGUAGGCGGACUUCUAAGUACCUUGUGAAAUCCCACGGCUUAACCGUGGAACUGCUUGGUAUACUGGUUGUCUUGGGCCAUCUAGGGGCUACCGGAACAAACGGUGGAGCGGUGAAAUGCGUAGAUAUCGUUUGGAACGCCAAUGGUGAAAACAGGUACU